AAAGUGGUUAGAGUAUUAUUUCUGUUUUGUGUGUGUGUGGAUUUUUUUUUUUUUUUAUUAGAAUGAAGAUUGAAAAGUACAGCAAGUGCAGCAUAAGGAAGAGUUCAUUCAGAUAUGCAGAGUUGCAGUGUGCAGAGCUGUGAAAGGCCCUGGUCUUCCUACUAAAAUGCAACUUGAAUAAAAUUAUUGAGGUUAUGGGGACAUAAUUGAGGCCAUAAUCUGACUUCUGUGUAGAAGUUACAAAAGAAGACAACUCCAAAAUGUACUGAUAGAGAUUAUCCCAUCAGAGAAAUGUAUUCAUUUUUUUCCAAUUAGUAAUCAAUGAGAUUUUUAGGAUUUCUGUAUAAUAUUUUUCAACAAUCCUAGGUAGUAAAUUAUUGAUAAUUGCUAUUGAUUAUCCUCAUUUACAGAAGCUACUUUUGCAGCUUCAGAGGAAGGGGAUGGUUGUCAAGGUCUUUGUUUUUUGCUGAGUUGGAGUAUUGACUGUGUUGAUUAACUCCAUGGUUGCUAUUUUGAUUUUUUUUUUUUCUUCCCCUAAGACAGGGGAAGUAAUCUCCUCCAAGACAGAAGUAACCUCUGCAUUCUUUUGUCACUAAUGCUGUGUUGAGAUAGUAAUCCACACUCUCUGCUAUUCAGAAAAAUAUUUGAAGAGACGAGAGAGGUGGAAGAUUCUCCCCAGUAGUACUGAUGUUCAUUAUAUACUGAACUGCUUGAUCUGAAAACCUGUGUGAUAAGGGAGUACAUGAAGAUAUCUGUCCUGUGCAACUACUAGCUCUGUAAAUGAAGUUGUUUAUCAUACCUAGAGGAACUGGGUCAAAACCUGUGUUGAAACUUAGACAAGAAGUAUGCUGAAAUUUUUCUGUAAAGAAACUGCCUUUGAUUCCACUUCUCUUCACCUCAUGCAAGAGGAAGAACAAGAAGAAUUUGUUUCGUCAACUGAGGUCAUCUCAUACCUGUGCUUUUCUCAAUGAGAAGGAACAUCAUUUUAAGAGUCUAUACCUGUUUCACAAUUGCUCCAACAGUUUUGGAUGAAAAUAAUUUACCUCUUCUGAGAGCCUAUUUGGAUACCAUAAGCUUCAACUCUGACUGAGCUUUUGCUGCACAAUUUUUCUCCCUACAAAGGCAAACAGCACCUUUGUAGUCUUCCCAUGUUGCCCGACCUCACUUCCAGUAACCUUCUGCCUAAGAUCCAGAAGAAGAUAUCUAUUCAGGCAAGCCUUCCUUCCGCCCUGCCUGCUUGACACUGACAUUUUGGAGUUGUUAACUGCAAUUUUCCUGCACUCUUAGGAGAUGGUACCUAAAUUGUGCACAGUGCAGAUGGACAGCAGUGUCUCCAAAACCAGUUUUCCAGAGGACCUUACAAACUAGUUCCACUGAGCAGCAUGAAAUCUACUCUAGUAUUAAAUGUGGAGGUUGGUGGCUCUGCCUGUGGCAGGGAGGUUGGAGAUUUAUGAUCCUUGAGGUCCCUUCCAACCUGGGCCAUUCUGUGAUUCUGUGAUACUCUCCUCAUAUCCAGAGUUAAGAUUUUGGUGGCAAUUUUCCUCCUAUCACUGAAGUUUGUAAAUUUGACAACUUCAUGGCCAAAAUGGGCACCAAUCAUCACUUCACCCACAGAACCUUCUCUGUUCACAAGUAACAGGUCUAGGAGCGCACCUUUCCUCAUGAACUCCUUUUGUAUCUGUACCAGGAAGUUGUCAUCGAGGUUUUUUAGGAAUCUCCUGGACCUAUUUGUAUCAGCUGGUGGUGUUCCCACUUAAUAUCUGGCAAAUAGAAAUCCCAUGUAAGGACAAGGGCAAUUGAUCUAGAGGUUUGUCUUAGUUUCUUAAAGAAUAAUUCACUGGCAUUGUCAUUCUGGCUGGGUGGUCUAUAGUAGACGCCGCAACGACAUCCCUUUUAUUUGCUUGUCCCUUAAUCCUUACCCAGAAGCUCUCAGCCAUGUGGUCACCAACUGACAGCUCAUUACAGUCCAGCCCAUCCAUUACAUCCAGUGCCACCCCCCCCACCUUGCCUACUUUGCCUGACAAAAUGUUUUGUGUUUCUGAUAGAUACAGUGUCAGAAAGAAAUGGAGGAGACUUGAAUAUCUACAAUUUCUGUUACCCUAAUAAUACUGAAUUUCUCUGAGUAUUUGAAUAAAUUACGAUCCAUUAGGCAGAUAUUUUCCUUGCCUUGUACUUUUUUUUUUUUUUCUGUUUAUACUUUACUAUAGAUAAAUGAGUGUAUUGAUGUUUCUUGGGGAAACUUAGAUGCCCUGAUAAAUAAUUACCUUUUACAGACAUUUGAUUCAUUUUCAUUUCUUUCCAGUAGAGAUGAAAGCUAUUCAGCGCACAAUAACUGGGGAGAAAAACAGGCCUGACCUUUAAGGAGCAGUGCAUGACUUCUUCAAUAAGCACAGACAAACCCACGCUAAAAUUAACUGUCUAGAUGGGAUCAUUUUUAUCAUCUUGAAGAGAUCUGCCUGUAAUGAUAUGGUUGUGAUUGGUUUCUGUAAUGUGCAGGCCAAUCUUAUCAAUACAAUCUAUUGAUCAAUUAAGAACUUGCCAAAUGUCCUCCACCAGGCAGUUACUAUAUUUGCUGUAUGUUUUUUUAUGCAUUUACAACUAAAGUGAAGCGGGGUAUUGUUAAAAGUUGAGCAGAAAUUACUGCAUAUAGUCCUUCAUCAUUCAGUACAUUGGGAUGAAACUUUAGCACCUCAUCUGUAUUAGUGUAGAGAAAAUAUCAGACACUGACAAACCUGAUAUAAGAAAAUUAUUGGAUUCUAGGUUAGUCAUCUGGUUUUAUAGUGAUUAUACAAUUAUGGGCAACAGUUUGUCAGACUGUAGUGUUUUAAAGCUAUGUUGUUUUUGAUAUAUUUAAUUUUAAUACAUUUUAAAAUUAAAUUAAAUUGCAUUCUAGGCAUUUUAAAAUAUUUUGAUUUAGAAACUAUUUUUACCUUCUCUACCAUUUGCAUUUUCCAUUCCAUCAAACUAUUAGAAAAAAUACUGCAUUCGUAUACAUGUCUAUUUAAUAUUGUUUCAGCAUUUAUAGGAUGAUUUUUUUGAGGGUAUAUGCUUCUAAGUUGUAUUCAACACAUUUAUGAAGUGUGCUUUUGGAAAGUUUGUCUUACUGCCAUUCAUGUUUUGACAGAUAUUUUCCCUGGAGAGGCUGUUUAGCCCGUGCUAUUUUGUAUGUUGUAGGUUCAAUUUCUCUGCAAGGAAACACUUCUUCACUGGCUAGAUAUGAAAUAAAUAUAUGUUACUAAGUAGAUAAAAUCCCUACCACUUAGUGUAUACCUAGAUCUUAUUAUCAUUGAGAUGUCAAUACUUUGGAAUCAAAAUAAUUGUAACUUAAGCCACAGAACCUUUCAUACUUCCACUUUUGUUUGCAAAAGUUUGAAUAUUUCUGAUCCUGUAAAAAUAAUUAAAUCAAUAUUGCACAUUCGUAUAAUUCCAUGUUAAUAUCAAGAAUUUGGUCAUGAGAUAGGGACAAAUAUAAUUAACACCUGCUGUUAUUGCUGCAAUAGAAGUAGGUCAGCAACAGGUGGUAGUAUUGAAUAUUGGCUUUUAUAUUUUGCUCUCAUUAUUGUUGUUGCUCGUAUUCCUUCAGAAGUAUUCAGAAUGUUAGGAUUUUUAAAUAUGUUUCUUAUAUUCUAUUCAGGAAAAAAAAAACCAAAAACACUUUAUGAACUGUUUGUUUGAAUUUUUGAUUAGUGAUGAAUUGUAUCACUUUGCUCUAGACUCUGAAGAAUCAGCCAUUUAACUUUUCAAAAUGUAAUUGUAACUCCUAUGCCUGCAGUUCCAGGGUAUCCUCAUAGACCAAAUUGCCAGGCCUAUUCUGAGUGGGUUCUUCUGUCUUGAUGAAUUAGAUAGAAUAAGUAACACAGAUGCAGACAACUAUAAUCAGUAAAGUUACUUUUUAGAACUAUUAGCAGAUUUUUAUUUCAUUUUCUCCUAUCAUGUGUUAAAAAAAAAAAAUGAAGAAAAUAAGAUAGCCGUUAAUCUCGUUUUUUUUUUUGUUUGUUUGUUUGUUUGUUUACUCCUCGCUCUCGGUUUCCUCACUAAUAUAAAUGUUAUUGAUACACUAAAGUCGAGACAUAAAAAAAAAAAAUCAAACUCGAUUUUUUUUCUGGAAAAAAUCAACAAAAUAACUACAAAAAAUCCUUAAUCAUUAAAAAAAAAAAAAAAAGAAAAAAAAGUAUGAAAAUACAAAGGAUAUUUUGAGAUGUCUAUUUUUCAAUUCUGACACAGAAUGAAAGGACAUUGUAGAAAUAGUCAAAUUUUCUGUGGAAUAAAAAAAUCUAUGCAGUAGCAUGAUAUUUUGGACAGAUUUGGAAUGCAAAUAAACAGGUUCUUAUGCAACUCUACUCUCCAAAUGUAGAGUGCUACUCGUACUAUUAACCCAAUUUUUAUUUAAUUUUGAAAAUUUUACUUAUUUCCUUCUUCCAUCACUACCCAUGUGGUUCAGAUAGGAGAAUCAUCUUUUUGCGUGCUACCAGUAUCUCCAUCCUACAGGUUACUUUUCUUAAAAGAAGUAAUACUGAGUAUUUUUUUUAUUAUUAUUAAUAUGUUUACUAACUGAAGAAGAUGAAGACAAACAUUGCUUAUGUGUAGCUUUUCAGGCUAUUGUUUUAAUAGCACUAUUUAUUUAUUGAAACAAAAAAAAAAAUUGUUUUCUCAAGGUGAGGAAACUGCUUAGGGUAUAAGAAAAAAAGAAACAGACUAAAUAGAACAUCACCUCUUAAUGAUGUGAUAAGAAUGCAUGAAUAAUAUGGCAUGAGUACUUAGUGGUAUUCAGAAUUUGGUGUGACAUAUCACUGAGUGGCCAUAGAUGAUGUGUGUGUCACACACAAGCAUCUGUAUCUGAAAAUAGGUAUAGAAAGCUUGAUCCUGGAGAACAGUGAUGAACACUUCUCUGUACUUCCAGAUGUUUUUGUUAGUCUACAUUGUGACAGAACUAGGAUUCAUGAUGGUCCAGGAUGUUAGUCUCUAAAAUGCACUUGCAAAAUUUCUGGUCAGUGCAAUUUAAAAUGGCUGUUAAACUAUAUAUGGUGCAGAAAAUUGGAUUAAUAAUGUAACUCUCCAGAAAUUCACUGCUAUUUGGAAUUGCUGGACAUAGUUAUAUGUAAUGAAGUGCAGGUUAUGUUAAAGUAAAGGAUUAUUAAAGGUGAAAGGCAACAGACUUCUCAAAAACGUAGACAAAUAGUGACUUCAGGCUUCUAAAUUACUUCAUAUUAUUAAAUCCAUUCUAAAUAAAAGAUAUCAUUCACAGAACCUAAUGUCUGUGAUUUCACAGUGGAGACCAAAAGAGUAUCACUUUCACAGUCUUUGUCUAUACCUCAUGCUUAGUUAGUAGCAGCUAACUCUUAUUUCCUCACUGUAUGUUUUCACUAGAACUCUUGAGAUAUUUCUCUUCAAUCAUGAAAAUGCUAUCAUUUUGCUACCAACAAACAAUGCAAAUCAUACAAUUUUUAUUAUAUACAUGCUAUCUUUUACA